rnacentral:rRNA from 1 species
UACAGAGGUCUCAAGCGUUGUUCGGAUUCAUUGGGCGUAAAGGGGUGCGUAGGCGGCGCGGUAAGUCGGGUGUGAAAUCUCGGAGCUUAACUCCGAAACUGCAUUCGAUACUGCCAUGCUUGAGGACUGGAGAGGAGACUGGAAUUUACGGUGUAGCGGUGAAAUGCGUAGAUAUCGUAAGGAAGACCAGUGGCGAAGGCGGGUCUCUGGACAGUUCCUGACGCUGAGGCACGAAGGCCAGGGGGAGCAAACGGGG